AUGCCGGCCACCGCCUUAACUGUUACCGGGUGGGGGCUGUCGCCGGUCAUCAAGGAGCUCGCAGAGGUGACGAAAUCCUUCCUGUAUGGCCGGUAUAGAAGCUUCAAGCGUUUCGUCGAUGAGCGUGCUCAGCUGGAGGAGAUCGUGAAGAAAGCCGAGCCCAUCAUGGAGAGACGGCGCGGCGUCCACGACGACGAGACGACGCGUGAGCUCAUAGAUGCCAUCGACGAGGUGAAGGGCGUCCUGGAUGCCUUUCUCUACCAGGACAUCCUCCUGGCCAACUUGGCAGCGAAGCACAACAAGCUCACACAAUUCGCCUACUCCGCGAGGAGAGCCGGCCGGCAGCUGGUCUACAAGGACGAGCCGUUCAGACGGCUCGAGAAGGUGUGGAAGAAGCUGCCCACAAUUGAUCAGAAAUUGCAGCUUUUUGCUGGAGAAGCCGCCUGCGAGCCAAUGGAGAAGAAGGCGACGGGCCCGCUGCCGUUGCCGGGGGAUAAGCUCUUCGUUGGGUACACCAAGGAGUAUGAUCAGCUGAUGUCAGCCUUGCUCAACGACCAGCCCAGCAGCAGCAACAACCGCCGCAACAUGGAUGUGGUAGCCGUGGUCGGCCCCGGCGGCUCCGGGACGACCACGAUGGCUCGGCGGGCAAUUAACGACCACAGAGUGGCGGAACAAUUCGAUUUGAAGGUAUGGGUGCAUGUUUCAAACACGUUCCUCAACACCCACCUGUUAGCAAAGAUCUGCAAGUCCAUGGAAGGAACCACAUGCCAAGCAGAAGCCGGGAUGCUGUUCAGCAAUCUCCAGCAGAUCGUUCGUGAAAGGUUCAGCUCCAAGAAGUUCCUGCUUGUGCUUGAUGACGUGUGCAACAAUGAAUCAGACAAUGACAUGGGGACAAGAUGA
rnacentral:rRNA from 1 species